CAAUAGCGUAUAUUUAAGUUGUUGCAGUUAAAAAGCUCGUAGUUGGAUUUUGGGUCGGGGGCACCGGUCCGCCGUUCCGGUGUGCACUGGUGGCCCCUUCCUUUCUGCCGGGGACGUGCGUCGCACUUAAUUGGGUGGCGUUCGGAGUCGGCGUUGUUACUUUGAAAAAAUUAGAGUGUUCAAAGCAAGCCAUCGCUCUGAAUACAUUAGCAUGGAAUAACAUGGUAGGACUCCGGUCUUAUUUUGUUGGUUUCCGAGACUGGAGUAAUGAUUAAGAGGGACAGUCGGGGGCAUCCGUAUUUCAUUGUCAGAGGUGAAAUUCUUGGAUUUAUGAAAGACGAACUUCUGCGAAAGCAUUUGCCAAGGAUGUUUUCAUUAA
rnacentral:rRNA from 1 species